rnacentral:rRNA from 1 species
UACAGAGGGGGCAAGCGUUGUUCGGAAUUACUGGGCGUAAAGGGCGCGUAGGCGGCCUGUUAAGUCGAACGUGAAAUCCCCGGGCUCAACCCGGGAACUGCGUCCGAUACUGGCAGGCUUGAAUCCGGGAGAGGGAUGCGGAAUUCCAGGUGUAGCGGUGAAAUGCGUAGAUAUCUGGAGGAACACCAAUGGCGAAGGCAGAUCUCUGGGCCGUAACUGACGCUGAGGAGCGAAAGCAUGGGGAGUGAACAGGG